rfam:Tupaia chinensis contig13185, whole genome shotgun sequence.
GGAUGUGAGGACGAUCUGGCUGCGAAAUCUGUCACCCCAUUGAUCGCCAGGGUUGAUUUGGCUGAUCUGGCUGGCUAGGCGGGUGUCCCCUUCCUCCCUCACCGCUCCACGUGCGUCCCUCCCGAAGCUGCGCGCUCGGUCGAAGAGGACAACCAUCCCUGAUAGAGGAGGACCGUUCUUUGGUCAAGGGUAAGGAGUAGCUGCACUCCCCUGCUAGAACCUCCAAACAAGCUCUCAAAAGGGGGCCAUGUGGCUGCCAACAAUCUGAAUUCUUCCACAUUACUGAGCUCACUCUCCAG